CAGGGGCCGGGACGGCGGCUGGGGCGCUGGGGUCGCCAGCUCCUCGCCCACCUCCCUCCCAGUGGGAGCAGAGGAGGAGGGGAAGUGACUGCGGAGUUGAUGAACUUUGCACAUCCAGAAACGCCAUUUUGAUUCCUUUUCCGGAACAAGUUUGCAUCUCUCCUUGUCCUCUCUCCGCAGCCCACCGGUCCCCACCGCAUCAUGCCUGGGAGCCAAGCGCCCCGCCGGGCCGUAAGUACGCGCCCCGGGCUCCGGCUCGCGGUCCUCGCUCGGGUGGCAGCGGGAUGUCCGGGGCUCAGCCCGAGCGACCUUUUAAAGAACUUUUUUGGGGAUGGGGAGGGUGAGGGCUGCAGAGCGCGUUGUACUUGGGAAACUCCGCGCCUCCGGGGCGCAGGAUCCACAGCCCCACGCCGUGCGGCGUGCGCUCGGGGCGGCGGGGCCGGGGCGCCGGGAGGAGCGGGGCAGCCUCUCCCUCCGGCCGCGCGCCGCCGCUCCUCCUCCUCCUCCUCCUCCCCUUCCUCCGCUCCUUUCCCCUUCCCGAGCCACGGCUCUGCCAACCAGCUCCCGGCGCGAGCGGCCGCAGCGCCCCGCCAGCGGGACCUGAUGCGCAUCCAUAUUAGCCGUCCGAGCGCAGGAAUCCGGCCCGACCCGCGCCGCCGAGUUUAUUUUUAACCAGGACCGCGGGGCCUCGGAUGGUGCGCGCACCGCCGGCCAGAAACAUCUUCCCAGCGCUGCUCUCCAUCUUCCGCCCUCUCUCCCCCGACAUCCUCCCCCCCCAUGUGGGAGGGGAAACUUUUCUCCUACAUACUUUCGAGUCCCUCUCGGGCCGGGAAGCGCGGAGAUGACGGCGCCCGCCAGCCCGCCGUCGCCAGCACCGCGAGUGGUGCCUGGGCAGGAGGAGCCUCUCGGGCUGGACGACAGCACACCUCAGUGUUUUGGGGAUGGCACCUGAGCAGGUUGUAGAAAUGGCAGAUCUUGAACUGAGAUGAGUACCUGAAGGUCUGUUUCCUGUUUUGGGUGGGCUGCUGGAGGAGGAGUGUUUUGCAACUAGUAACAAAUAGAGAAUUUAAGCCUUGGCGUGGUAGUUUCAGCAGGAGAGUAGUGAGAAGCAGUCUGGAACAGGAGACGUUGUAUGCUCUCUUCUCCUCAAAUACCGAAUAUCACCAUCAGCAAGCCAGUGUCACCCACCCUGCCUCAGUACCUACACCGAGUACUGGUGAGCUCAAGUUCAGUAAAACAGGGUCCCUGCCCUGAAACUCCCCAGCAUCUCACACCUGGACACAGGAGCUGCAAGUGGGGAGUGGCUGGGGAGAGAAGUGAGGCCUCCACCUGUGAAGGGUUGGGAUAGCAGCACAUACAGUACUUCCGGGAAGGGCAGGACCUGGAGGGGGAGAAGCUGAAGCUUACUGGGGGACAGGCUCGGGCAAGAAGUCGAGGGUCACUUGAGGGCAAGGUUUGGGGGUGUUGUAUUGAGUUGGGUUGUGAGAGGUGUUGACCCGGAAAGACAGACUGGGCCUCAGUUGUGUAGGCCGCUGUGGGCCAUCGGGUGCUUUGAAGCAGGGCUGUGAUGUGAGGAGCCUUGUGUGUCCGAGAGAACACUGUCACCCUGUAAGAAAAUUAGGCAGGAGAGGCGACGUCCUGUUUAGCAAAGCAGAGUCUGGCACCCUUUUAAAUGAAAUAACCCCCCCCCGCCGCCCACCUUGUAAAGGUUUUCCAGCUCAACCUGAAGAGCUGCCUCCUGGAGCAUUGUUCAGUAGCAGUUGGAGGGACGGGGUGCUCAGUGGUGUAGGAUGCUUGGGCAGCAUGUGUAAGGCCCCAGGUUUCAUCCCCAGGACUACACAAUAAAAAUGGGGGGAAAGGAAGGUGGGAACAUUUACUUACAGCCAAGUAGAAUUCAAUUAGAUAAUAUUUAAACUUCCUUAAUUAUACUUUACUAAUUGGCACUUACUUAAGCUCAUCAGAGAGCAGAAGUCUUCAUAAGAGAAAGACUCAUUACUUUUCCUUCAGACACAUUGGCGGGUGGACACCGGCUUGGACUGGAUGAUUCCCAGUCCUGUUGAUCAGAAGAGCUUCAGAGGCCUCCGGCAGAAACCAAAUCUGUCCCUGAGACCCAGCUGCCCUACAGCCGGCCAUUGCCAGCUCCCUGCUCACCUGCGCAGCAUACAUCCCUGCCCAGGUGACAGCUCUGCUCCUCAGAGGCCCUGUGGAUUCGUCUUCCUCACUGAGAUGGGCAGGCAGGAGAGAGAGCCCUGUGCCCCCAAGGCUCGCAGAAUUGGGGUGGAUGUGACUGAAGCCAGAUAGCAGGCCCCAAAGACAAUUAGUGGCUUAGUAAUUACUGCAGAGACUCAGUAUUCCCUUGUACUUUUAGGUGUUCAGAGUCCUCUGUCCUCUGGGAAGGAAAUUAAUUUUUUUAUAGGUAUGGCUUUAUGUAUUUCAAAGUUGUACUGGGGACCAAAGGAGCCUGCUGGGAGGGUGGGGAAACGUAGAGGGUCCCCCGUCGAUUCGGUGGGUUAGACAGAUCACAGGGCUUCAUUACUCAUUUUCAUCACCUGAAACUGAUUGAUGUACUUUAUGAUUUUAGCCAUUGUUGGAACCUUUUUUUGUUUUUCUAACGUUCUGUCAUCUUGAGCUAGGAGAAAGCGAGGCACUCGUAAGCUGAAGCGGGGCUUUGAGGGAGCAGUAGGAGAGCCGGGGGGAGGCAUCUGGAAGUGCUGCCCGGUAGGUUCCUCUUGCAUGUGUGACCAUCAGGUAUCCUGGGUAGCGGAGGAAAACACCAGUUAGGCCCAUGUGUAAUGGUCACAGCCACUUGAGGUAUCGCUGCUUUUUUCUCUUUUAAAGAUAGGAAACUGAGGCUUGGAGGUGUUUACAGUGACAGUCUACCAACCAGGAAGUGUUACAGCCCUUUUCUACAGUGUGAAUAUUUUUUCUUUUCUUUUUUUUUUUUUUUUUGGUGGUGGUAUUGGUGAUGAAACUCAGGGCUUCACACAUGUUAGGCAAAUGCUCUACUGCUGAGCUACACCACCAGCCCAAGAAUUAUUCUUUUGGGUAUAGAUAAUCUCCCUCCACAUUGGCACCUGGAGAGUUCCUACUGCUUAAUUCGCUGGUCUUGAUUUUUCUCAUCAGUUUGCUUGGGUCUGAGCGUUAUUUGAUUGCUUCCAACUUCAGUUGAAAUACCCUUCAUUGAGCAACUGCUGUAUUCGGGACUCUUGGUUCAGGCAUGGGGGAGCAUGGUGGUUCUUGCCUUCGGGGAGUUUAUGUUAUGAAAGGAAUUCAAAGUGCAUGUGGACCCUGAGCCAAGUUCCCAUGGGAAGGCCAGGACUCUCGGAAGCUCAUGGGACUGGAUCUGCACUUCCAGGAAAAGCACAAACGGGAUGAGGUCCCGGGGAGAUGUCAGGGGAGAUGUCAGGUCGGUCGGGAGCCCAGGGUGUAAUUUGGUGUUGCAGAUGAUGUACUUGAAGAUGACACGGUUGGAAGGUUACAUAGGGCCGGUGGGGUAGGGCAGAAGUCAGCCUUCCCUUGUGUAAAUCAUUGGGAGUGUUAGGUGCUUGAGCAGACAGCUGCCAGGUUUGCCUGCAGAGGCCUUGGGGACAUUCUCAGAAGGGGGGGACACGGUUUGGCCUCUGCUUUGGUGGCCACCGUGGCCCACUUUACUCUGCUUCAGGCCCGAGGCAGGGCGUGCAUCCCACGGCAGUAAGGACAGGGUGGAUCCUUGGGCAGGAUCUCUGAGUUGCCUAAAGCUAUUCGCUGAUGUACACACACAAGGCAGUUUUAUUUCUUUACAGCCUUGGACUUGUUGAAAAGCUGAAUCACAUCCUCUGGCUCAAUGUUUGACUUAGUGGCUACCGAUUCCCGGUGAACCACCUUUGAGGGACAACGUCCUGUUAAAGGAAAGGCAGGGCCAGGCAGCAGGGCACCCAGCUUCCAGCUUGGCCCUGACCCAGAGGGUUUGGGUGCCUGGUGGUGGGUGGACUCAUGUGGAAAGCCCACUGGCCCAAAGCUUUCCUGCAUAUCUGUGCCCUGAGAUGUGAUGUUGAGUGGUCAGGGUGCCAGCUCUGAGCCCUGUGGACCUGCCACAGCCCCAGGUGUUGUGGUCCUGACAUUUGUGCCCAUCUGCCACCUCCACCCCGCAAGGGGAGGAGGGUCCCCUCACCUGCUCUGCCUGGGGCCAGAUCAAGUCUGGAUGGACAUGGCUUUUCCUGAAAACUCUCCAGAUCAUUCUGAUCCUCCACAGCCAGUAUGCCUUCCUCGGAAAACAGGCAAAGUAGUAGCAAAUCCCUUCCCGUUGCUCUCCUUGCUCUUCUCAGCCCUCUGGUGAAGUUGGAAGUGCCUGAAAGAGAGGCAGCCAGAGCCAGGGCCAACCUAAUCCACACACUCUGCACGUCAUCCUAGGUGACUCAGAUUCAGUUGCAUUUGUCAUUUCACAACCGCCUGCAUCUGAUCCCGCUCUGUGGGCAGAUCCAGAGCCCAGAGCCCAGAGCCCAGUGCCCGGUGCUUCGGAGCACUGUGUUCUUCCUGGGAAUGGCUUUUCCCAGCCCUUCUCUCUUCAGCUUUGGGCCCCGGGGUCCGCUGCUGAAGGAUACCAUCCCUGUGCCCCUCCCCAUUCGUCACAGCUAAUAUUUUCAGGAAGCAAAUAAGUACCAUCGUAUGCCAGUCACCUCGAAGGCUUUCUGUGAUUUAUUCUGUAGCCCUCACAGCAGUCUUGUCCUUGGUGUAAUUGCCCUCAUUUUGAAAAUGUGGAAGAUGGGUUGGGGGAGAUUUUCCUAAUCGUCCAUCCUAGGUGCCAUUAUGUAGGAGACACUGCAACGCUACGUUUGUACUUCAUCUCAUUUAACCUUUGUAUCCACAUUAUGAGGUUGUUAUUUCCACUUUACACACAAGGGAGCUGGGGCUUAGAGUUAUAUAACUUGUCCAAGGUCGCUCCAGCUAGUGAGAGUUUAGAUUCAAACCCAGACCAAUGUACUCCAACGCAAAUACUCUUAAUUUUUGUUCUCUGCAUUCGUUUAAGUAAAACCUUUUCUUUUUUGAGGCUGACAAAGCUGAUGGCUUCUAUUGGGUUUGAUUUCUAAUGCUUUUUCCAUUGUUAAAUGGGGGGAAAAGGGAACUAGUGUUUAUCAAGCGUGCACUAUUAGGCACAGGUUUUGCCUUUUAUUUUUAAAAUAAAUUUUAUUUUAUUUUAUCCCGUUCCCCCCGCCUUUUAAAAAUCUAGAAAAAUCUUUCCUUCAUACUAGAGCUUUUGUUUUUAUUAGUAUAUGUUUGCAGUACAUAAUGGUCGCAUUCAUCCUGGGGAAUUUGCACGUGGACCUAACACAUCUUAAUUCUUUUUUUUGUUGUUUUGUUUUUAAGAUUUUAUAUUCACUGCCACACGCCUGGCACCUGGUGCUCUGUCAGUACUGGACAAAGGAAUGGAUGAGGCGAGGGUCAUUUUACCUGUGUGGCAGGUGAGCCGUUGAGACAGAGCAGUUGGGUGACUUCGUAGGCACACACCGUGGUUGAAAACGACUUUGCUUUUCACACUGCAGACCUUUUUUUUUCUUUUUUUUUCACUAUGUGGAAUGGGAGUAAUCAGAUCGGUGUCGUGGGAUUAUAGAGCAUGAUAUAAAACACUAUAAAUACCCCAUAUCUGGCCAUGGUAAAUAUCCAGUAAGCAGCGUGGAAGUAUAUUUGUCAUCCGUGGAGACUUCUUUUGGCCCCUACCUUUAUUUUUGGGCAGGAUCAUCCCAUGAAUUAGUAACCUGGAAAUUUGCUAGCAGCUGAAUCUUUAAAAGAAUGCUGAAUCUGUGUUCCUAUCUUUGUUUUACUAUCUAUCAAGUGAUUCAAGUAGUAAAAUUUGUAAAAAUCAGUUCAGCUCUACCCUGGGUGAGUGGUUAUGUCUGGCAAGGUUUGAUUAAACAGUAUUUGCAUCUUCACUUAAAGUCAAGGAGUAUUGUGCUGGAAAGGAAAGGGCCUCAGGGAUCACACUUCCUUUAUCCCCCUUACAUCCUUUUAAUUUACAGGUGAGGAAAUGAGGGUGGCAGAGGGGCAAAGGUAGAGCUGGGCGCGGAUUUGGGUUUUGAGUGUUGGCUGCCCUGAGAUGUCAGCGCACCCUGCCAAUUCUGGGAGCCGGGGUUUUUGUCCUCCAUGGGCUUGUCUUAACACUAGCGUGGUGGAGCCACAGUUGCUCCUGCUAUGAUGUUAGCGAGCAGAUUAUAUCAAUAAUCCACCACAGGCUGGUAAAUCAAAAUCACACUCCUGUUCAAACACUCUCAUAAAAGGAUCGUAUUCACGGUAGAUAAUUGGCAAGUGUGCCAUUACUCCAGGAUUACACAGGAAAUAGUCCUAAGGGUUAAACAUUAGUGUUCCCAUUAGAUUUCUGAACUAUUUUGGUGCACAUAGGACUUACAUUCACUGAGGCAAAAUCUAGAUGAACUGAAGGGGGAAAAAAAGAAAAAUAGAAAAGAAAGUCAAAUAAUUUCUUCCCUGAAGUCUGAGGUGACCAUUGUAGAUAGGUUACUAUAUAGCUCCUCCUAGAUGGUUUUUUUAUUGGAUGUAGCAUGUGCUGCAAAAAUGAGAUCUGUUUGUGGGCAAUAGACACUUUAUAUGCCUUUAAUUUAUACUGUAUCUUUCCAAAAUGUAAUAUGAUACGAUAAGUCUUUUUGCGUAUGUUAAAAUAUUCUUUGACAUGAAAAUCCUAUUGUUUUGGGGACCAGGUCAAAGGCUACCGUCUUCAUUACUUUGCCUUCCUGGGACUCUCAUAGGAAAGUCAGGAAAGAUACUUUCUUAGGAUAAAUGAAGUCAAUCUAGGAUUAAAAUUUUUACUGGAAAUUGUAACUAUGUAGUUAAUAGAAAUGGGUUUAUUUUUUGGAUAGCAUGUAAUCUACUGUCUUUUUACCACAAACAAGUGAGAGUCAAACUUGGGGUUGCAGGUAUAUCCAGACCCUGAGUUUGAUCCUCAGCACUGGAAAUAAAAAAAUAAGGGGGGAAUUAAGGGAAAUGUUUUUGUAGUGCACUGUGUUGUGGAUAUUCCCAGUGGCAUGAGAUGUUCUAAUCAGUGUCAUGUUAUUUGGAUAUUGUACAGCAGUUAUUCCCCAUCUUUUCAGACAUAAAGACCUCUUUUAACAUAAAGAAAAAAUUUCCAAACCAAGUAUGAUUGAAUCAUAUUUUUAGAAUGUUUGGAAGCUUCAAUGACAAAAAACUUUUAAUAACUUUUUAAUUAUAAUGUUCACUUUUUUUGUUUUGUUUUGUUUUUUUGUGCCAGGGAUCGAACUCGGGACCUGGUGCUUGCGAGGCAGGCGCCGGAACCACUGAGCUAAAUUCCCAGGCCAAUAACUUUUUAAUUAUAGCAGCAUCUUUUUUACGCUUGCAAAGUUAUAGUACAUAUAUGUGUAAACUUGGUUGUAGGUGCUUGCUGAAUAGAUAAAUAAGUGAUUCCCUUGAAAUAACUCCCUGGAGGCCCCUGCCCUUGAGGAAGGCAGGUCUUGAAUAUGAAUAACUCCCAGGUCUAAUGUCAGGAAAAUAAUGAUCUGUUCUGAACUGCAGGUGGAAUUCAUUAACUCCAGGAAUGACUACAGUCACCAGUCACAGAGGAGCUGAAGGCCAUUGUGUGACAAGUUAGGAAGAGGUUUCUGCUCCCACCUGCUCGGCCACUGGCAGCCAUGCAGCCCUCAACAACGUCUCCGUGUCCUCAUUUCGAAAGAGAACUAGAUUGAAUUCAUUAGAUGAGAAGCAUUUCAGCAUACCUCUGACAUAGGUCCCUUGGCCUUUUUAAUUAUCUGUGGUGGUCUAUUAGAGAAGGAACUAGAUUCAUCUAGAAGCCUAAGUCCUAAAGCCGAGCCCAAUCUUGAUUAUGGUUAAUGAAAUACUUUAUGCCUUGUUUUUUCCAUCCCUGGAAUGGGCAGAGUGUAUUUCUUGUAACAUAGUCUCAGGAAGUGACAUAAUGAUGCCCACAGGCAGUAUUUUUUUUUCUCUUUUUAAUCAGCACAAGCAAACAGAAAAACCUUUGUGAGGAUAUAAGCUAUUGUCCUUUCACAUGAAGGAAAAGUACCAUAAGUCUAGGGGAAGUCUGAGCAUCCUGAAAGCUGCUUUAGGGCAGGCCUGCAGCUGCAAGACCAUCCAGUGGAGUGAGGCCUUCUUCCAGGCCUUCCUUAACCAUUCUCCUGUGGUUGUAUUUUCUUCUUUUUAAAAUGGAUGCCGGGAGCAUGUUGUGGUUAUUUACCGGUGGUGCCUCUUCUGUCACUAUUCUUGGUUUCUGACAGCAGUUGUUGCUGCUUAACUUCCCAAGAUGGGGUGGGAGAGGCAGCUGUCUGUCUCUGGUCUGAUGUCUGCAUGUUAUCUGAAGGGAGAGACGUGGCCAGAUGUGGUGGUGCCCGUCUGUAGUUCCAGCACUCUGGAACCCUGAGGCAGGAAGAUUGCAAGUUCCAGCACAGCCUGGGCAACUUAGUGAGACCUUGUCUCAGAAUUUUAAAAAUGUCGGGCGUGGUGACACACGCCUAUAAUCCUUGCACUGUGGGAAGGCUGAAGCAGGAGGGUAGCUGUGAGUUGGGGGCUAGCCUGGGCCACAUAGCGAGACCCUGUCUCAGUUCUACCUUUUUCUAGGAGCAGAUAUUUUAUUUACACUGUAGGCAGUGUCUGCAUAUUUCCCAGAAGCAUUUAAUGUCUUUGUUUCAAGCUUUUAUAGCUUUUUCAAGUUGCUGCAGGGAACCUGCAAUAGUUUCUUAGCAAAGGAAAGUGGACAGUAAGUACCUGCACGCUGAGCCCAGGUACAAGCAGGGCUUGGGAAGCCAGUACCCCUAAAAGAUCAUUUUGUUGUACAAAUGCUGAAGCUGGAUUUUUUACAACACAUGCCAAAAGAAUGACUUUCAUGAAAUGGACCUAGGCAAAGAGGUGGCAGGUGGCUAGGGUCAGCUGGCCUCAGUUAAAGUGCUGUGGCCAUCUGUAUAGUAAGACCGGUACCUCCUCCGCCUGGUACUCAGCUGGGUGAGGCGCCACGGCCCAGAUCACAGGCCCUGGUUACUCCUGAGGGACACAGACCCCAAAGCUUUCUCCGGGUGGAAGCCAUCCAAACAUAACUUCAGGAAUUCCAAAGCAAUGUUAUUGUUCCCAGUCUAGCAGAAGUCUGAGUUGAAAUGGGUCCCCAUUAGUGCCUUCCUUUUAUCUUUUAUUGAUGACUGUAAUCACAGUUUUUUAAAAGAUAGAAGUGAGCUAUAAGUGAUACCUUGAGGAUUUUUGUUUAUUGUGAAGUAUAGUUUAAUUGUCUGGGGGUUUUCUCCUUGACUAGCUUGCUUCGGGUCCCACCGAGUAGGUAAUAUGGAGAAAAUGAGAGAUGUCUGAGCUCUUUGUGAGAGAUGUUAUUUGAGGGGAAGGGGGUGUGAAUAUAUAAUAAACUUAGAAAUAACAGGUAAAGUUUUCUCUGAACCUACCUACCUUCUUGAACAGGAGAAAGGGUGAUUUUUAGGUGUACUAGUGCACAAAAUAAUGAAUAAGAGUCUCUAAAGACAUUUCAAUCUAUAAACAGCAUAAAUAUCUUUAUUCAAAAUGGAUUGAGUUCUGAAGCCUGAUGCCUUCAAGAGUACAGUAUUAACAAGCGGCUCUUAAAAGCCUGUCGUUAAUCAAGCAUGUGUUACCCUCAGAGUUUUAUUAAAAAGGUAUGCAUCGGUUCACACCCUCCUUACAGGAGGGUCAGUGUAACAGAAACUUGACAGACAUGUUGAGGAGGGGAAAGAGAUCAAACCACCUUGGCACCUGGCCUCUUCCUUUCACUUCCUUACCCAGCUCUGCCCCUUUGAGAUGUUCUUCCAGAAGGCAGAGGAAGCUGCUGCACUUGGGGUCAUCACCCUGGAUCUGGCGGCGGGAGUGGCCCAGCACUGGGAGUUCCUUCCCCAAAGCCUGGAGCUGACUUGCCACUUUUAGCUGUUGUCAGGAGGUGGGCAGUACUGUUCCAACUUUCCCAGAAGGCCAGGGAAGAGCAGGCAGGAGCAGGAAGGGACUGAAACUGCAGUGGCUUCCUUGAUGCUUCUCUCUGCCCCUGGGGUGUGGGGAGCGAGGGGAUAGGAAGUUGGAAUCCGGAGGAGAGGGUUGGGGGUACAGACCCGGCUGUGGUUAGUAAGCUGUCAUUUGACUGUUGGUUUCUUCUCUUCAGAUGUUGGCAUUCGGGGAAUGCAUUUGAUAAAUUUAUAGUAUGCCAUCACGAGUAUGAUGAUAUGCAUGUGUAUUUUGGGGUGCCAGAUACACAGGCAAAUAAAACUUAAGCCAAAUGCUAAGGUAGUUACUGUUUUACUGAUGAACUGAAACUAGCCCAACUGGCCCAGUUACUUGAGUCGUUGGCUGAAAGUACUCUAGUUAGUGAUUCUUGUUUGGUAUCCCUAAAAACAAAAAGCACUGGAAAGGUGCAGCACUGGAUGAAGGAAGGCAAGGCUGUGGCUGAGCUUCACUCUGUGGUGCUGGGAGGAGAGGUUGGAAGGAUGGGAGUCACUUUGCCUUGGCCUGACUCCUCCUCUUCCUCUCUGGGCCUGGAGCUGCAGCCUCAGCCUUCAGAGUGGCUGCCUGAUGCUAGGCCCACGGCUGCAUUUCAGUGUCUCUCGCCAGUUUCCAGUGUCAUCAGUCAUCACUUCCAGAGUUCCUUUUCCUUUUCAGGGGUACCCAGUCUGACCGUUCAGCUCCUUUUCAGUAGCCCUUCUCACUCACUUAUGCCCAGUCAGGAAGAUUAAUAAUGUGACGUGAUUUACUGUCACUGAAAAAGAAGCAUUAGUUAGCUAGACUUUUACACCUCAGUCAGAUGGUAUUAGACACCCUCUGUGCACUUUAACUCAAGGAUGUUAAAGACCUAAAUCUUUGAGGUAAGGAAAAAAAGGAAGAAAAAGGACAGGCACUUUUCCAAUUGAAGCUGCAUGUUGGUCCAUGUUAAUUAGGCAUUUGUCCCUUGGUCUUGAUGUGAUAGAAAAUGCCAGUUACUGUGGUAUUUAACUGACAUCAAACUCCUGUCCAAAUAAUUCAGUUGGGCCCAGCCUUCUCUCUUAAUUGGUGGGAAGGAAAACUUCGGCACACACCCAAAAAAAAGAGGAAACUGUUACUUUCGUUGGACAUUUAAAAAUUUUAUUCUGAAGGGGCUGAAGAAUACGUGUUUAUUUUUUAAAUUAACUGCCCAUUUGAGCUUUUAAAAAACAGUAACAACCAGAAUCUCCUCUAAAACUCGAGCCCCUCGAAAUGAUUAGCUUUGGUUAAGUCUUCAGUAAAUGACAGUUUAGUAAUUAUUGUUAGCCAAAGUCAAAAAGUAGUUAUUGCUGUCCCCUAUAAGUUAUGUAUGUAUUCUGGAAACUGACAAUGUUCUAGGCUACACGCAGAUUUUUAAAAUCAAUACUGGAAAUUCAUAAAUAGGUUAAGGUACCAAGCAAUUUAAAAACCAAUAUUUUGUGGCAUAGUAAAAGAAGAAUGGCAUGAUGGUUUGGUAGGAGUAAUUAGAGGAAACAUGCCUUUUUUUUAAAAAGCAACUUUUUCCUAGGGGUUAGAGAAGGUAAUCCCUCAGUGACAAGAGUAUAGUUUUCCUUAGUCAUAAGGUAUCUAAAACAAUUUCAAAAAUAAUCAAAAGAUUUUUUUUUUUCUAACCAGGGCUAUACCCUUAUUCCACUUUCAACCUCACUCUGUGUAUGGUUUCUAGCCAAAGGUUCACACAUUGGUGAGUGCUUCAUUUUUAGCUCUGAACUGCCUUUUGGUCCCUGAAUGAAUUUAAUAUGUUAACACUCCUGCACAGCCCAGAAUUGCUUGGCUGCCCCUUGCCCUGCCUGCCUGGUACUGGCUGAAAAGGUACCAUUGUUUGUUCUGCAAACACUGGGUGAUGUUUGUUUCCAAGGUGACCGAUUCUAUUGCUGCGCUUUAGGCAAGGGUGGGUAAGGAAGAGAGAAAGUUGCCUUUAAAACACCUGAGAGCAUCCCAUUCUGAAUAAUCUGUGUCUGUGUAUAUGUGUAAGUUGAAAUUUUAUUUUAAUUGAGGUUAUUGGAGAAAAAGGGGUAGUGUGGCAAUGGAAGAAAAAAAGAGCUCUGAUUCUUAAUUCAAUACAGAGUGAAUGUAAUGAGAAGAAGUAUUAGAAUUACUAGAAGUUAGCUGUUGACAUUUGGAAAACUAAAGAGGGGAAGAAAAAUAUUUUAGAUAACUGAAAUGUUUUCUUUUUCCUUGAAAUAGUUCUUGGCUAUAAUAUAUAUGGCUGUUGAGGUAAAUGUUUCAGAGUAUAAAUAAAAUCAGUUAUGAUAAGGUAGAUGGGCCUUCAAAGAGGUGUGAGAGAACAUGAAAUACAGAUGUUUCAGUUUUAAAUUCUGUACAAAACAAUGUUUUUAGAAGAAUCUGUGGAGCCAUUGAGGUUUAUUUGUGUAAAAGAAAAAAAUUCCAAAGAGAUGACAAAAUAGAUGAAGAGCAUCUUUUCAUGGGCAAUAUGUAUUAUUAAACUGGAAAUUUGGAUUUUCACAUCUUUCUCACAAGAGAUUUUAGAUUUCAAAAUAGAAAAAUAAAAUUACUCUUGUUCUAACCCCCGCUCCCUUUAUAGUACAUGGAUGCCGUUAGCAGAACUUUGCCUUUUCACUCCUAUCGGGUUUAGUACAGUUCAUGCACAGGUUUCAGUAAACAUUAACUACUUUUAUCAGGGCUUGCAGUGUGCUGAAUGGUUAGCAAAGAGUGUGCUGUAAGAGACAGAUGAAAUUGAGAGAGUCCAAGGUCACAUGGAUUUUUUUUUUUUUUAAUUAUGGAGAAUUUAGAGGAGAGAAAUCAGGUUUCACACUUGGAACUGUCCUCUCUGUGGGCCCACUACAAGGCUGCUUUGCCUAACAUUUUUACAUAUUGAGACUCAUACAGGUUUGUUCAGAUGCUCCACCUGAGUGGCAAGGCAAGUAAUUUUGAUUGCUUUUUCUUUCCUGUCAUAUUUUUUUAAAGGUCAUCUGUGUUCAGGGCAUCUUCUAAGAUUAGUCUCAAGGCCCCCUCAAAGAGUUAAGGCAGCAUGUGUCAUGGUUAUUCUGAAGUUCCUUCUGGAAUCUCACUUUAUUCCUUUCUCAAGGAUAAUUCGAGCUGGCCGUCUGAUUGUCAAUUUGCUUCCCACAGUCAGCACAGUAACUCCGCAAACCAAGUGCUAGAAUAAAGUGUUGCCAAAUAUAGAAUAAAAAUGCAAGUUUUAGGUAUCCUGUAAUACUCCCGAACUUUUGCCUGCGUGUCGUUCUGGAAGACAGGACUGUGAUGGGUGCUCGUUUUCGCAGAGAGCGUGCCCGAUUCAGACUCGACUGGGAGGUGCGAGGCCGAGACAGCGGGGCCGCGGCCCCGACCUGCUGCCCGCGUGGGGCUGGGGUUUCGCCUGCGCCGGCGCCCGCAGGAGCCAGCUUGGGCAAGCUCUUCCGAGACAAUGUCCUUUUAAACUCCAAGGCCUCAGUUUAAGCUUCCCAAGUGCUGUGGGAUCCUGAGCUCUCGCCAGGUUGCUGCGCGCCGCCGGACCCUGCAGCCCUGGAGCUCUGGCAGGUGGCCCGCCGGACGUGAGAAGGACGCCACCCCCCAGAGACAGGCUUGCUGGGGGCGGCCACUGUACUCCGGGAAGGCAGUCGCAGCAGCUACUUGUUCGCAUAGAGCAAGGCGGACGGCCGGUCAGCGAGGCUCUGGUAGCCAGAGCUGCUCCGCCGCUUGCUCGGCCGCUUGCCCCACCUUGGCUCCCGUAGUACGCGCCCAGCUAGUGGGCUGCGGGGCCGUCCAUCAGGAUGGCGGGCGCUGAUUUGCCGGCUGGCCGUUGGGGCGGGAUGAGGGCGGAGCUCGGCGGCGCUGGCGGCGGCCUUCGCCUUCUGCGGCGUCUUUCUCAGACCUUGACGCGCUCUCCUGGGCAGCAGCUGCGCUGGCCCUUUGGCUGCUCGAGCAACAGCCCAAUGACACUGAAGGUUUUCAGGAACCCCUUUAGCCGCUGGGUUUAAAAAAGAAAAUUCUCAGGGGGGAAUUAUAAAAAUGAGUGUACCUUGAGCGAGUCCCCCUCUUUUGCUAAUUUACCUCCAGCCCACUUAAGUGUUCAGAAGUUCAGCGUAGGCGUGAACUUGCCCGCUAGCGUUUUGUAUUUCUUUCCCAGAACAAGCCCUCGUUAAAAACGUUGGUUUCCCUGCUGGCCGUUUUGGGGUGAAAGCAGCACAUGGCCUGCGAGUGCCCCCCGAAGCCUGCGGCGGGAUGCAGAGGGGCCCGGGGUGGCUGCCGCUGCCCUUCCGGACCCUUCCUCAGAGACCUUGUCUGAAGUGGCCCACACACCCUCCUUGGUGCUGGGCACUCCCUGCCGUGCUCCAGGUGGAGCCGUGUGCCCGUCUGCCCCUCUCCUGAGAGUGCAGCCUGUGUUCCUGCCUUGUCCGAGCGCUGUUGCCGGUCUCUCCUCCAAGAUCAGCACCAUUGGAAAAGUGAGCCCAUUUACCUGGAUGCCACAUCUUGAUGUUCUCUGUACUCAAAGCACAUCCCCGUGGGGACAACAUCAGCCCUGCUCCUGAUGGCCAGAGGCCACCUCCCGUGGAGAUACCUUGUUACGGUGUACCCUGUCCUACCUGCGUCCUGGGGUCAGCCUUGACCCUCUACAGGUGCUGUAUGAACUGGCAUCUCUGUGUCAUGUGACAAAGACGACCCCGCUGGAGCCAGGGGACACCCACAUUGCCCCAGGGAAGUGUCCCCAGUUCUGCAAGGCACUGUGGUACUGUAGAACCAUGUCAGUUACAUGGCCUGGUCUCGCCACUCUGGGACUUGCCUCAUUUUUGCUUCACUGGCACAAAACCUUUCCCAUACCUUACAAGUCAGGCUCCCACUCCAGGAGAUUCAGAUUGAGCGCCUCUGGGUGAAGGCUGGGAUUGCAUAUUAGGGUUGGAAACUUCUGAUGAGACAGAUGAGUACAUUUCAGCCUCUGGGAUUUUCUGAAACCCUACUGCUAAGAAGGUUAGGAAAUGAUAAGGAAACCCUGAAAUUCUCCUGUGUGAUGCUUGGUCGCUGCAAAGCUGAGCUGUUAAGCAAGGUAUUGUGGGACCUGUGAUAGAACCCUAUAGGCCUUCGGCACAGGCAGGUGUAAAUGCCACUGAUUAAUUUUUUAUGAAGUUGGAGCUCUGACAAUUAUCAGGGAUGCUGAGUAGCUGGUACCAGAUGUGUCUUUUGUUGGGACAUGGAGAGACAGUGUCACAGGUAAUCAGGCUACAGAUGUUUAAUGCCUUGCUCUGAGGCUGUGGGUCUUGGGAUGCCGAAUGUUUUCCUUACGAAAGGAGGAAAGGGUGCACAUAAUGGUUUCUAGUGUGCCUUUCCCUCGCUCGGGCUCCUGGAGUAUUAUCUUCUGUGGAGAUGUUGAUUCAAUUAUCAUUAUGCCCAGCUCCUAUGAGGAGAGGGUAAAAUGGUACGCGGGGCCUCUUUAUCUAGACCGUUUUGCCAGUUUCUGAAGUGACAGCCUGUCACUUCUGAAUUCUAACUGAAUUCAGCCCUUUUUUCACUCCUGCACUGUGAAACAGCAGGAAAGUCAGCCGCUCAUCGUGUCGGGUGCAGACUUUACAGCCUCUGAACAGCCUCUGCUUUUGCAGUCCAUGAAUGCACCAUUUGUUGUUUUGAGCACAACUGUUGGAUACAACUGGCCUCUCAGCCCACUCUGCCUGGGACCAGUGUGCAUCACUGUGGCCUUUUUUUUUUUUUUUUUUUUUUUUUUGGCAUAGGCCAAAUUUUUGUUUUAAAUACCACCAUUUUGUCCACAUUAGAAUUUCUUUGACCCAAUUUACAUUUUGCAAAAAUAAGGUUUUAGGGCCAGGGAUUUAGCUCAGUGGUUUCACCGCCUGCUGCAGAAGCGCAAGGACCCGAGUUCAAUCCCUGGUACCAAAAAAUAAAUAAAUAAAUAAGGUUUGAAUUUGGUCAGAAUUCUCUAGUGAUCCUGAAUAAGUACUUUAGUUUAUUAAAGGAAGAGACUGUUUUGUGGCCUUGUUUUGCACACAGGCUUUAAAUUUUUUUUUUUCAAAGAACAGUGUAACUUUGAAAUUAUAUUUUAAAUUGACUUGAACUGUUUUAUUUUUAUUUCUAGGUAAUUCAUUGUAUUUCUAUUUGACCUUUUUUUUUUUUUUUUUUGAGACAGGGUCUCACUAUGUAGUUCAGGCUGGCCUCGAACUCCUGGCAAUCCUCCUGCCUCAGCCUCCCAAGUGGUGGGAUUACAGGCAUGGGCCACCACGCCUGGCCUCCAUUUGACCUUUACACAUCAUCUCUUUGUCAUUAUUGUCUUCAGUUUAGAAUUUAAAGUAGGUCUCAAAUGUUCUUAUAGCAAAAUAUGAAUAUGGGAAGUAAUAUGUUAAUUUGCUUGAUUUAACUAUUUCAUAAUAUAUAUGUGUAUACUGUACAUAUAUACAAGGUUUUUAUUUCAGUGCUAAGGGUAGUGUACUUAAUGGCUCUACCACAGAGCCACACCCCAACCUCACACAUUUUUUCAACUUUAUCUCAAUUUAAAAUGUAUUAAUUAAAAAGUUAGAGUUGUCAAAACCAAACCCUGCAAUAUAAUACUCUCAAAUAUUUCUAGAGUAUUUGUAGGUAACUUUUUCUCCUCUUGAAACAGGGUCUCCUUCAAACUUGAUACCAUUAGCGUUAGAAUUUUUGUUUUGUUUCUCAUGCACAUUUUUUUGGCCCUGUGUAAUAAUAGGUGUGUUAUAUAGUUGUCUACUGUAACAUUAUUACUUCUUUACAUAUUUUAGUGGAAAGAGCAUAUUAACAUCUUUUUCUUCUGUGCUUUGCUUCUUUAACAGCUGCACAAAAUUGUUGUAAUAUUUCUAAGCCUCACCUGGGCUGAGGAAAUGAAUUUCUGUUAAUAUGGCCGUAAACAUCCUAUAGCAACCAGUUCCGCAGACCUUGACAUCUAGAUCUUCCAUAAAUGAAACAGUCCCUCGCUGAAAAUGCAGAAGCUUUCUGUAGUUGAGUUUUUAUCUGUUGUCCUUCAAGCAGAGGCUCUGGGUUGCAUUUGUGUUUUUGCUAGAAUUGGCACAAACUAACACAUUCAGGAGGAAGAGUAAUUUUUUGUGAGUUUCUGCUUUCUUUUUCAUCUCACUGUAUACAGGGAAAGAUCUGACUUUUUGUGAAGAUUAAGUCUCCCACUACCUGAGGAAUCCUUAAGGUUGAUGAGAAGCAACAGGUUAGGGGGAAAUUGAGCUCAUGUUUUAAUGCUUCCUCUGCAAUUUUUUUAUCCCGAAGUCUGUUCUCAUUUUCAGAGCGUGUUUUACAUCUGUGGUAUCCCUCGUUUUGAUGCUUGGUUUUGAUCUGGGCCUUUAAACUGUAUAAAGUUUCAUUGGACUUUCUCCCUUUACCGUAGUUUCUUAUGUGAUUAAUUAGGUGUGUGGCUUAAAAUGGCAAUUGAAACAUCUCCAGGAGUUUUCACCAGGUAGGAACUGCUUUUCCUGUACCAGAACCACCCAACUACCACCCAUGCGGCUCAGUUGAUGCUUCUGUUGCUACGCAGGUACAUUUCUGUUCAGGAGGCUGCCCGUUAACCCUAGGAAUGCCUAAUGGCAAGCAGAAAAGAAGAAAAAGAAAAGAACUUUGUGCUUCAUGUUUAUAUAAUGCUUUGUUCAGGUGCUGAAAGCUGGACUCAGCCCAGCCCAACCCCCAGUUACCCAUUUGGGGUGGGGGAGCUGGAGCUCCGGACAGCUGGGGCCUGGCAGUUUCUGCUGGGAAGUUGGCUCCAGUCGCCGGUGACAUCUAUGCUGUAGGAUUCAAAUUGGGGGUUUGCCCUCGCUCGGUAAGGAGUGAGUCCAGACCCUUCCUUUGGGCCUUUCUCUCUCUGUCUGUCUGCCUUGAAUUGAGAGCGGUUGCCGUGUGCAUCCAUUUGCUAGAAAGGAGUUAAGAGAACAUACCGCAGAACAGGUUGGGCAAGACUGUUAAAACCAGUGAGGAAGCCUCCCCCCUUCCUCUCCCUCCUCCUCUGCCCACCCAACUUCUCCCAGGAUGUUAAAACAUCCUCAGACUGCCCCGCACACACACGCCCCCCUCCAGGGUCUGGCUUCCCGUGUCCUCGUCAGCGCAUUCGAUGUGAAUAAAAUACUUUGUGCAGACAGGAGCCUGUGCGCGUGAGAUGGGCAGGCAGCCGGCUGCAGGCCCCAGCCGGGCCAGCUGUUUCUCAGGCGGCGCGGGUGCCCUCCGUCGGGUAACAUAGGCCCCAUUCAGUGGCAGCAUUCUUGAGCAUGCAUGUAUGGCUCUGUGGGCCCGCGGGGUGGACGGCCUGGGAGGGACGCGGAGGCGGGGUUGGAGACGGAAGUGUGUGUGUGUAGUGUGCACGCAGACGGACGGGGAGGCGGUGAGUUGGAGUCACUGCCGAGGGUGCCAGUAAGUCCGGGGACAUUGCUGCCUGAAGCAUCCGCAGUCAGCUCUGACUUGUGGGACGACCAGGGAGCUCUGGGGAAGCCAGUUGGGGGUCUAAGUCCUGCACAGUGCUUGCAUCCAUUCGCUCCAUAAACACCAUAUAUAGUCACGCCUGAGCUCACUAUAGCACAUCGUGGGGAACCCCUCCUAACGCACAGCCCCUCUGGCACUGAGAAGCAGACUCACAUAGGCCAGUCCUGGUGUGCCGGGGCCUGCUUCUUGGGUGGGGGUGGGGGCAUUUUUCUAUCUUUGCGCUAUUUAGAACGCGUUUCGCUUCCUGGCUCUUCUGAACUGUAUUGUUACAGAAGGAGAAACCGAAUUCCCUGUGUGCAUCUGUUUUCGAACAAAAGCCUUGUUUUUCUUAGUAGCUUUAACAUCUCACACAUUCUGUGUUUUAUGGUCCUGGAUCUCCCGCUGUCUGUUUUUGGAGCAUCUUUUCCCUUUGUGAGGAUGAGCUCUGCCCUGUGAUGGGCUUUGCUUGGUGAUGGCUGUAGAGAAGUUGCCUUUGUGUACCACGUGUCACCUUCAGCUGGCCAGGGCAGGGCAUAGCUGCCCGCAGGACUGACGGCAGCCGUUUUCCACUUGGCAGCACUGAGCCUGUGAGCAGGGAAGAGACAGUAACAAGAAAGAAAUGCAGUUGUUGCAGUUGGUUUUCUUCCCGCAUAAAAUAUCUAGGAUACUGCGUUUCAGCUUGGAGUGGACAGCAUAAGGCACUUGUGGCUCAGAUAAGAGGUCUUCUUCCUUUUCUCCCUCUUAUUUCCUUCCCUUCCUCCCUCCAGCCCCUCACUGCCUUUCUUCUCAGGACAUGUUGUGUAGCUGACCCUUGAGAAAAGAUGAUUUGCCGCACUGGGCUAUUAGGGUAGAGAGACAGAAUGGGCACUUUCUUUCCCUGGUCUCCUCCGAGUGAAUUAUGUCUGUGUGUGACAGUUAAUUGUACCAUCCUUCCCCUUUCCUAAGCUGAUAAACCCCUCUCUGUCUGCUUCCAUCAAACCUCUUCGUUUGAGAGGUUCCUAAUGUAGUGGAAGAACAAAGUGACACUUUUCUUAUUUACUGAAUUCUCUCUCAAGCACAUUCACAGUGCCCUUUAUGGUAUUUUUUAUAACUUUAUUUUUUCAACUUAUAGAAUUGAACUAUUUCAAGUAGGACGAGUGACUGAAGUUAAAAUUUCCUCAAAAACAUCAGUAAGUUCGAGGAGAGAAACACACACAGACUUCUAAAAAGCUGUAUGCGUAUUUAUUCCCAAACUAGGUAGAGCACUUGGAAGGUAAUCUUGGUAGGUGAUGUUUAGAAUAAGAAUCUGGGCAUUGCCAGAGGACAAAUUACCAGCACGGAAACGACAACUGAGUGGUAUGCAAUUGACACAGUAGUAAUCUAUCCCCUAUGUGGUGGUCACUUGUUUUCCUUCUUAGGUCCAGGAUAUUCAGUUGAUGAUGUGUAUGUGAAAAGCUAGCAGGACUGUUUUAUUGGGGGAGGGGUGUGCAAAAUAAAACUGUGAAAAGGCACAAAGAUGCUAAGAAAUCCAGGUUGAAACAUGCCUCCCUUUGAUCAUUUAGGCCCUUCUCUUAGCACUAUUCAUUCUGGCUCUGAUCGUCUUGUCUCUCACAUUUCUCAGUCAACAACAAAUUUGAGGCCCCAGUUGGAGGUUGAGGGUGGAGAAGAGCCACCAGACAGCAACCAGGAAGGAUAUCAGGAUGAGACAAGAAUAGCCGGUUACCAUUGGAGGAAAUUGAGCAAACCGAACAGAAGAGCUCUCUGCGUUAUUUCACACAACUGCAUGUACAUCCACAAAGCUGGCGAUAAAACAUAAAAGCAUGGCCCACUAAGGCAAUGUGGGAUAGGGGCAAAAACUAAAGUAGGGGUGUUUGCUGGUUUCCAGAGGCAGCCUUGUGUAAGAGUUGUUCAUUGUGCUGAUCCUGAGUCAUUCCCAGAAGGUUAGAUUAAUCAUACAUUGAUUCACCACACUCUGCUUAAGGGGAUUGGGAAGUUUAAAAGAUGCUGUAGCGUGACCCAGGGGUUUGAGAUGGAAAAUUAAUUUGAGUACCCUCUACCCUAGCAGUGUGUAGCUACUCUAUGAGUUAACAGGAAGUGUUAGAAUUAACCUUCGGGUAUUGUCAAAUAUGUACUAAAAUAUUAUUUUGCCCAGAUUUGUAGAAGAAAACUUAUUUAUUAGCAGAUUUACAUCAUGUCCAGAUACCAUCAUCAAGUUGUUUAUAUGCCUAAAGUGAAUUUUUUUUGUACUUAAAAUUAAAAGAAUAGAGUGCCAAGGAUUUUUACCUUUUUACAAUAGAUGAUAGAGAAGCCCUGUGGAUGCCCGAGUAGUCAGAUAUCCUAGACUACAGUCCUGUAGAAAAGGUAUCCUGAACUAAGGAAGCCUUAGGUAACUUAAAUAUAUAAACAAGUUAAUUUCAAACCAUGAAUGGAUACAUUGGAAGGAAGGAGUGUUUUUUCCUCUCCAUUCCAACUAUAGACUCAUUCUGAGAACCAUAGAAUGCUAGACCCAGAAGGGACUUGAGGGGUCCUGUGGCCUGGUUUUAUCAGUUUGUCUUCAUUUUACUCAUUAUUAUCAGCAUAAAGUAUUUGCAGACAUUUUCAUGGCAAUUAGUGUCGAAAGCUCUCCAGAGCUGCUAACACUUGCUAAUGGUUCUCACACAUCUUGGUUUUAUCACCAUAAGUAUGAUGGAGCAUUGCUGGACCCAAGGUUUUAAUAAUCAAGCUCAUAAAUAAUAUUUACAUUUUAAAAAUUUCAAAUACUUGAAUAUUAGCUUUACUAGUUACUAAGUUUCAUUCAGUUCUUUGCACUUAGACUUGCUGUAAUGCAGUGUUAACAUAUACAUAAGGUUCGUAUAAACUUCUCUUGCUAAUUCAGAUACAUUUUCUCAUAAGGAAAUUGUUGCUUUGAAAAUUUAAUUAGAUUUGAAAUUUGGUUGUAUGAGUCUCCAUGGAAACUGUAACUCCUGAUUGCCAUGCUGAAGGUGGCAGGUAUUCUCUUAACAAUGUAUGCGUUUUUGACAAGCAAGGAUAAUGCAUAUGAAUUACAUACAAGAAAUGGGAAUUAAUUAGUUGUUUGGGUAUUAGAUGCUCUAGGGAGGUGGAAAGGUAAUAAAAACCAGGACUUAGCUGAUCAUGGUGGUGCAUGCCUGUAAUUCUAGCACGCUGGGAUUACUAGGAUUGAAAGUUUGAGCCCAGCCUGGGCAAGUUAGCCAAGACCCUGUCUCAAAAUUUUAAAAAAUACAAAAAGGGCUGGGGAUGUAUCUCAGUGGUGAGGCACCCCUGAGUUCCACCCCCAGUACCACAAAAGCAAGCAAGCAAGCAAAACCAAAAAACCCCAGGACUUCCCAAGAAGUAAGUAGCGUGUCUGGUGUCUGACCCUUGGGGGGGGUCAGCACAAAGGGGACUUAUUGGAGGGAUGUGACGGAGGACUGGAAGAGCUUGCCUUUGAGAUGGGUGACAACCCCUGGAAGUCAUCUACAGCCGGCUGCAGUGGUGACUCGAUUCGAGAGGACCUGCUUGUGACAUCUGCUGAGUAGGCAGAGCCACAGGGUCAGCCUUAGAGGUUGGGGUGGUCAGCCAGUAGAGCUGGCGGCGCCAGAGAGGGGAGCAUGCAGGCAUGGAUUGGAACAGCUGCUGGCCGCCUGCAGAUCAGCCUCUGUGAAUCACAGGCACAGAGAGCUCAUUUGUGCCACAGGGACCUUGGUGGAGAGAGAACAGGAAGGUCCCGUCCUCGUCCCCCCGCCCCGUGCUCUGAUGCCUCCAGAGCAUUUUCUAGACAUUGCAUUGAAGUGUUGGGCAGUUAGCAUGUCAGUCCAUAACAUGCAUUGUUUUUUUAAACACAGUCCUAAUCUUUCAUUUAAAGUAAACGGAAUUAGUCUGCUUUCAAAGUUGACUAAAAUCAGUUUCACUAGACAUCAUGGGUAGUUUAUAGGGAGGGGAGUGGGGACCCAAAGAGAAUUUACUCAAUUGAUUUUAGAUUGUUAGAGGAUUGAAAUGUUACUUGAUUGCUGGUUUUAUCCAGGAUUUUGAGAUUUUAAGGAAAAGUAGACAAUGCCUGCUUUCAUCCAAGGGAUUCCAGCAGUCAUAUGAGCUAUAUGCCAGCUCCCGAGGGCAGCGGCAGCCGGCAGCCUCUGCUACACAAUCCUGCAGAAAGGAGCUUCAGAGUGGGUGGGAUGUGCUGGCUUGGGGGCCGGGCGUUUGCAUAAUGCUGCCCAUCUCAGGGUUGUGAUGCACGAAUGGGCUAGAGUUUAUUUGGGUGCAGAUUGGUAGAGCUUAAGGAGGAGGCAACACUAGGAAGGCCAACUGGGAGCAGCAGUUUUCUGUGGCACCUAGGAGAAGCUGCCCUAGGACAGGCUGGGGACAGGAAUCAUCUUGUUUAGCUCUCAAGAAGAGGUAACUGAUAGGUGGACAACAUAUAGGAGUCUGAAACCACAAACCUCCCUAGGCAUAAGUAAAUGGAAAGGGGAUUUGAGCUAUAUAAAGGAUGCCAUUUAUAAACUCCCAGAAAUUUCCUUGUAGCUUGACCCCUGUCUUGUGAUGAACAUGACUAUGGUAGAAAGAAACUGAACAAGUUAAAUCACAAAACCCCUACAUGGCAUUGCUUUUAUAUGGCUUUCAGUCUCUGAACAUUGGCUGUUCCAGUUGCCGAUGGGCACGCACAGGCUCUGAUUUGAGGAGAGAGCAUGAGUGGUAUGAAAUCACCUGGCUGAGUGACAGGGACUGCAGGGGCCCUGUGGGAGAGUACCAGCAAGUCGUGAUGCUAAGUUUUCUUUCUUUGUAUGUUUAAUAAUAAAUUUAUCUUAAUUGCCCAUUACUGCUUUCUCUAGUACUAUUCUAAGAGAAUGUUCCCCAUGUUAGCCCCUUACGAAAAGUAAAGAAAUAAUCCUGUUUUAAGGUGUACAUGGAGACUUUAUUGGUUUCCCUAACAUCUUAAAAUUAACAUGUCGUGUGAUGUUUUGGAGAAGUAGACCGUCUCUCUUGGAGGCUACGGCAAGAGGAUCACAAGUUCAAGCCCAGCCUGGGCGACUUAGGGAGACCUUGCCUCAAAAUGAAAAGGGCUGGGGAUGUAACUUGGCACAAAGUCCCAGGUUCAGUCUCUAGUAUUUACAGAAAAACAAAACGUAGGCCCUCACUAAUGCUAAAUUUUUGUUUUCUUUUUUCUUCCUUUUUUUUUGGUCCUAAACUGGGUUCAAGUGAUCCUUCUGCCUCAGCCACCUGAGGAUCUGGGACUACAGACUUGGCCUAGGUUUUUAUUAUUUUUAAAUGACUUGAAAAGAGAAAAAAAAUCCACUCACCAAAAGUAAGCAACUCACAGUGCUGAAUAGCUAUAAAAAUGUUAGAGAAAUUCACCUUUCAGCAUUGAGGCCUUUUUAUUUUCAACUGAUUUUACAGUUGAGUUGUAACUUGUGACCCAGUGCAUUAUGUGAGUGUUGACCUUUCUGCAGGGGAGCCAGAUGUGCGUACCUAAAGGGAUGGAAUGUGACACACCCCGACAACAAGACCUUCAAGAGGCCCUCGAACUUGAAAAGGCCAGAAAGGCCAGAUGCAGUGAGAUCCUUCAUCUUGGGGCUGAGUUUCACCAUUGCUGGGUAGGGAACCAAAGCCACGGAGUUCCUCAGGAAAAGACUUUAAAGUGUGGGCUGCACAGGGGCUGCUCUCUUGCUCCCCACUUUGCAGAGCACCAGGGAGAAUUCUAGCAGGAAGCUCUGCCCCUCGGAGAAGAGUUGGAGCGCAGAUCCUCUCUGGAGUCCUGGGUGCCCUCCAGGAGGCGCUGUCUUCAUCUCGAGCCCCUGAGGUGCUCUGGGGUGCUGUUCCGUAUUCACUUUCUUUCUCCCCUCCGGUUCUCGAAGUUUGGUCUAUUCCCUAAAUUUUCUAGUUUCAGGUUUUUUUCUCCCACCUGUUCUCCUGGGGUUUGGACCUAGGGCCUUGCUCAUGUUGAGCCACACCUCCACUUCCCUAACAGGUUGUUAGUCAAGGUAUUUUAGAUCAGCGCUUCCCGAUUUUUUGGCAUUAGGGACAACUGUAGUUUUGAGGAAGCCAGUGUUUCUACAAACUAGGGGGAGGGGAUGUUUUAUUUAUUUUAUUUUAGUUUCUUUUUGCAAUUAUUAUAUUUCCAAUAUAUGAUAGUUACAUUUCCCAGCACUACCAUCACCACCUCAAGUUGUCAGUCACUAGGUUCUCAUAGGAAACCCAAAACAACCCUUUUAUGUGUAGUUCACAGUAGGGUUCAAGCUCCUAUGAGGGUCUAAUCCCCACCCCCAUUUGACAGAGGUGGAGCUUGGGAGACAGCGGGCACAUGAGUGAUGCGGAGCAGCUGGAAGUGCAGAUAAAGUGGCCCUGGCUGGCCCACCGCUCACCUCCUGCUGUGUAUCCCAGUUCCUAACAGUCCACAGACCUGCACUAGAGCCCAUUCUAGAUUAUGGUUUAUUUUAGCUCUUCCCUAUGUGUGAGGGGAGAGGCGGUGGUAAUUUUUGUUAAGAGGAGACUUUUUGUAUUUCAUUCCAAAAUAGUCUGGUAGGUGGUGUACUGUGGACAGCUUCUUACCUGUCUGUUAAAUUAUAAAAUGUUCCUAAGAUAGCUAGAAAAUGCUGAUGCUCUUUUCUCUGUUUGGACAAAAAGGAUAUCAAUCCACAUAUAAUUAGAUAAAAUAGAAACCUGUACUCUUGGUGUGCUGGCAGAAGCUGAAAUAAAGUGAGAGGCGUCCAGUAGUGAGAGAGGCGCCCUGUGUACCGUCAUCCCCCUAAGUCCACAGAACAUCAGCUCCAGCCCUCCCUGGGCACCAGGGAUGCUCAGGGGCUUGGUUUAGAGUCACCUAGUAUUUGCAUGUAAGCUACACACAUCCUCUGUAUGUGCUGACUCAUCCAUCUGUAGAUGACUCCUGAUAUCUAAUACAGGGCCUGCAGAGCACUGUGGUCACGUGAGAAUAGUGGGGUGCUUCAGCACACAGCAGGGUUUUGGAACUUUUAGGGUCUUACUAUGUAGCCCAGCCUGGCUUUGAACUCAUGGUGAUCCUCCUGCCUCAGCCUCCCAAGUGCUAGGAUUAUAGGCAUGUGCCACCAUGCCCAGCUUCACUUUUUGGAAUUUUCUGGAAUUUUUUGUGGUUGAAUCUGAUGUGGUACCUGCAGGUGGACAGGACUGACUGUAUAUGCUUUGUUUCCUAGGGCUCUCGAUCAAAAUCCUUCAAUGUAUUUACAUAUUUUCAGUAUUUGUUUUCUAAAUUAUUAGCAGUUGUUUCAUAACUGUAUUGCAGCACAAGGAAUUUUUACCUGUGAUGAGAAACAGACCUAAAAUGGGAGGUUUAGAAAAAAAUCUGUUUUGGUAAGUAGAAAUAAAUGAGAAUAGGAUAGGGUAGAAAUCCUGGCUAACUGAUUUUAUAAAAUACAUCCUAUGUGCAUCGAUAGGCUGGCCUUAAUAAAACUGAUGAUGUGGCUAUCCAUGAUAUAAAGAUGAUAGGCUUGUUUAAUUCAGGUUAGGCUAAGCUAUGCUGAGGUAUCAAAUAAACUUUGAAAUCUAAGAGGCUCAGCCAAUAAAAUGUCAUUACGGGGCUGGGGAUUUAGCUCAGUGGCUCUGCCGCCUGCUGCGCAAGCCCAGGGACCUGAGUUUGAUCCCCAGUACCAAAAAAAUACAAAAAAAUAAAAUGUCCUUAUUUGUUCAUAAGUAGGGCUAGCUUGCUCCCCAGCACACUUCCUUCCAAAGCCGCAGCUGGGGAUCCAGGCGGUGGUCAUCUUACAGCAAGCUCCCCUGCAGUGCGCGUGCUUCCAGCCGGCCACCGCCAGGAGAGGCCAGGUGAGACUUUCAGCUUUGCAAACCUUCAGCUGGAAGUGAUGAGCAUCCAUUGUGCUCGCAGCCGGUGGGGCAGAACCAGCCCUGUAAUCCGCCUGACCGUGGCGGCCAGGAGUUUUGGGAAGUGUGGAAAUACACGAGGCUCCUCUCUGGGCAGCGAACCAUCGCUCCACUCAUCUCACCCUGGAAGGCUCAGGGCUGAAGCCCAGAACAUAAUGAGUCCACUGUUCAUUGAGCUACACUUACCAGAAUGUGUCCCCAUGCCGGUAGCAGGGCACCAGGGAACAUGCUGGAAACAGAUUCUUAGGACCUUCUCUGCUUUCAUAGAAACUCUGGACGGUGUAGCUCAGUGGUAGAGUGCUUGCCUAGUGUGCGUAAAGCCUUGGGUUGAUCCCCAGCCCUCCAAAAAAAAAAAAGACCCCCCCCAAAGGUAGGGCCCAGGAAUCUGUCACACUAAGUGUUCCCCUUGCCUAAAGUUUGAAAGUGACUUCCUGGGUGAAGCAAAGCUCCUCAAGACCUGUUGGACUCAUGAUUGGUGCCAUGAGCUUGAAGCAUUGGUGGGCACUUGCUAGUGUGCACACCCAGGAAAUGCGUGUACAGGAGCACAUAAAAUAGCAAGUACUUGUAUGGCCUUCACGGCUGCUGCUCACGUGCUUCCCACAACAACAUAUAAAGUAGGUAUUGUCAAUGUCCCAUCUUACAGCCAAGGAAACUGAGGCACAGAAAGGUUCCCUAAGUAAGGGCACGUCCCAGGGUCAGGGCACUUAGCAUAGCUGGCAAGUGACAGAGAUGGGAUUUGAACCCAGGCCACGUGGCUCCAGAGUCCACUCCAUAGCUGUUUUGCAGUUCAGCCUGCUGAUCUUUGGAUGGCAACACCCCAGGCCCUGUGGUAAUUUUCUCACUUUUUCUUUAAUGCAGACAGUCUGAGAAUUAGCAGGAAGUGCAGAGCACGGGUGACAGACGGUUCCAGUUUAAGUUCAGCCGUCUUCCCUCGAGCUUCAUUCGUUGGCGGUUUACAUGUGAGGUGGGGUGGUGACAGUGUUGGCCAGCGCUGGGUGUGCAAGGCCAGACAGAAGUUGCCCAGUCUUUUAGAACUGAGCCACAAGUAGAAUGGGCUUGUUAGAGGCAGGACCGAGGAGCUAGUGGGAAGCGGUUUCUCAGCCUUAGGUAUUCCAGGCACAAUAUGAGAACAUCUCCGUGUAACCCGUGUGCCGUCUCCAGGUGUAGGAGAGAGGCCCUGUUAGCCUUCCCUUCCCUUUUGAUUCUUCUCUGGCCCUUCAUUUUCCUUCCUCCAUCUGCCAUCUGAGGCCCAGUUCCAUCAGGUGGACUGCUCAAGGUUUCUCUUAUGAGCCAGACUCUAGUUUUAAUAGAGGAAAUGUGUUUUCCAGGAAAUGGGAUAAAAAAGUGUUCUCUCCCUUCCACUUGUGAGAGUUAGAGGGUAUUUAAUCAUUUGAAUUUUGAACCCAUCAAAAGUUUCUAAAUGACAUUGGGAUCUGCUUGUUUCCUUGCCUUCUUCUAUAAUCUGUGAUUAGCUUGCUGCGUUUUCUUUCUUCCAGGUGGAUCUGUGAUUCGUUGCUGUUUAGGUUCCUUGCUGGCCAGUGUGUUUCCUUGGCAGCUUUGCCAGGACAGUACCGGCUUUGACUCUAGGUAGGGGAUAAAGAUAGCAUCACCCCUUUUGGGUUUCAUGUUGGCUGGGAACAGCUGCCAGGCUUUGUGUAGCCCCGAACAUAACAUUUCAUUCCUGAAUUGCUGAAAUUUUUAGUUUUUGGCAAGCCAGUUUUUAACCAUGGGGUUCUGACAUUCAGACUCAGAGUGUAGAAUUUUUCUUUGAGAAAUACUGCUUGUCUUGGCAAUUUAGUAGUGGACAAGACCGAGGUGGUAGAGAACAGAGCUGCAGAGUGAGAGGGAGGAGGCUAUUUGCAGAAGUUGUUUUAAAGCUCUGUGCACUUCUCACUUGAAAUGGUUCGAUUUGCUUAGGUACUGCAACAGAGGUGUAGAUAAUUGAGGGAAAUCUUGCGUCAAAUCUAAACAAAAAAAGAAAGAACUGACCUAAAAGUGAGCAGCCGAACUCACCCGAAUGGAAUCACAGAUUUGCCCAGACCAGCUGAACCUGAGAGAACAGGCCAGCGGCAUGGCACUGCUUGUGGGGGACCUUGUGCCCCUCUGAGAGGGACCCCAGGCAGUCCCUGUGGGUCUCCUGCAGCAUUCUGUACCAAGCCACGAAAAGAAAAUGGGAAAGCCAUUUGGAGCUGUGUUUUGGGAGGAUGUUUUCCCUCCCCUGGGAGACCCGGCACCUUGGAUUGCUUGCUUACUGUUUAGAAGAAGAGCUACGUGUGUGAAUUGGGAAUCAGUUGAAAACAAGUGACAGCCCUGCCUCUGACCCCUGAAAUAUAAGAUGCGCCCUCUGAAAUAGCAGUUUUCCUCCAGCUCUCCAGGGUAGGAAGCAGGAUGCCACAGGCACCCUGAGUGGGAGGGGCAGUCAGAAGCCACUUAGCUGCUCCGUGGACGUGGACCCGUUCCUGACACAGGACCUUGAGGUCACGUGGCUGUAAAUACCUGAACACCCAGAGCCUCUCAUCUGUUCAGCCUCAUCCUCCGGGCUGCUGGCAGGGAGGGAGGCCUUUGUUUAUCUCUGAUCCACCGCUGAGCUGCCUGGCCAGCUCCUGGGUCCUCUGCUGCUUACAUCACCAGUUCUCCCAUCUCUUCUUCCUCCUCAGCAUUUCAGUGCCUACUAUGUGCUCAAGAUCGAGGCCAGGCAGCUUGCAAGUGUGUUUCUCCAGGCUGCCCCUCCGAGGAUCUUCUUCCUGCUCUUUCAUCUUCUGACUCAGGCAAAGGCUCUGCCCCCUGGACAAGAGUCUUCCCACUUAUCUGGGUGCCACCUUCUCCUCCCCCUGCGGACCUCAGGACCUCCCGCCUGUCCCUGAGGCUUGACAGGGGUGUUCUUUGUGUCCCGUCCUUGAGUCUCAGCAG
rnacentral:lncRNA from 1 species